rnacentral:rRNA from 1 species
UACAGAGGGGGCAAGCGUUGUUCGGAAUUACUGGGCGUAAAGGGCGCGUAGGCGGCCUUCUAAGUCGAACGUGAAAUCCCUGGGCUCAACCCAGGAACUGCGUCCGAUACUGGAUAGCUAGAGUUCGGCAGAGGGAAGCGGAAUUUCCGGUGUAGCGGUGAAAUGCGUAGAUAUCGGAAGGAACAUCAGUGGCGAAAGCGGCUUCCUGGACCAGAACUGACGAUCAGGCACGAAAGCGUGGGGAGCAAACAGG